GGGCGUGGAGGGAACAUCGAUCAUUCGGCGCUCGGCCCACUUUACAGCGGCGAGAUUAAAUCGACGGAGAGCAGUUGGAGGGGGCGGGGCGGACUUCCAGGAAGCCGGAGGGCAGGGAAAUGGGUCGAGCCCUGCAUCAUCCACCGAGCCGGGGCAGUGGGUGGGUGCGCAGCUGUUUGGGAGCGGGCUCGCUGCUUCCCGAGCAAAGCUGGCGUAGGGCUCGGGGGCAUCGCGGGUCUCUCCCUUCCCCGCUGCAAACGUCGCACUGUCGAGGGCUGCGAUAGAAGGAGAAGAGGCGGAGACUGUUAGAGGAGCGAUGACAGCAGCAACAGUUACAACAGCGACAAAAUAAAAAGCCUGGUCCUUGUCUACUCUGUUACCUGUCUCAAAUCGCAGAACACCAGCUACCUAGUCAAGUGCUCAAGCCAGAAACUCACCAGUUUAAGUUGGAUACAAAUGGCAACUUGAACUUUCAGAGAGCAAGAUGGAGUCAGUCACAUCAGCAUGACAAGCAGCCAAGGGCAUAGUGUUUAAGACCGGAUAUUGCUGAAACCAGCACAGAUGCCCAUAUCAUGCCCAGAACUGAUAACCAGCAGAAACUGAAGAGGCCACCAAAGGCCCAAGACUGAUUAAACUCGUUUAAAAAGGGAAGGCUUUUGCAGCAAACCGUCAGACUCUCCAGAUACUGACCCUUUAACAUCUCACCACAUUGAAGAGACAACUGGUGGCAAAGGCUCUGCCUGAUUGAUCUCUGAACAUAAUAGAGAUCCUCCACUGCUAGGACAUAAUACACAGCAUACACUGAGAGCUGACCCGCACUGGACCGAGGCUUCAUCUCAACUGUGUGCUCAGGGACUGACCUCAUGUUUGGUUUCUUAACUUCUCCCCCUUUGUUGUAGGACUUUGUGUUGUGCUUUGCUUUGUUUAAUGUGUAUGAAACCAAGUUAAAUGUGUAACAAAAUGUCAUUGAAUUGGGAAUCCUGAACCUGCUUUAUAAUUGUUAGCCUUGCUUUAUGACUUAAUGAAACUGACAUUGUGGAAAGACACAACUCGUAUCUGCACAUUCAUAGUGUACUUGUCACAAAUGUACAUAUAGAUAGAAAUUAAAGAGAGA